CGGGGGCAACCAGCCCCGCGCCGGGGGACAACAGCCGGAAACGGCGGCGAAUACCGCAUGAUCCGUGAGGGCCGCAUGGCCUUCCCGGGAACGCUCCGGCGGCACGGGAUGGGCCCGCGUCUGAUUAGUCUGUUGGCGGGGUAACGGCCCCACCAAGACUGCGAUCAGCGCCCGGCCUGAGAGGGCGGCCGGCCACAUUGGGACUGAGACACGGCCCAUACUCCUACGGGAGGUGUCUGUUAGGGAAUCUUCCACAAUGGGCGAAAGCCUGAUGGAGCAACGCCGCGUAGGUGAAGAAGGUCUUCGGAUCGUAAAACCCUGUUGUUAGAGAAGAAAGUGCGUGAGAGUAACUGUUCACGUUUCGACGGUAUCUAACCAGAAAGCCCCGGCUCGCUGCGUGCCCGCAGCCGCGGUCCUCCGUCGGUGGCGGGCGUUGUCCGGUGUUUUUUGGGCGUUGUGGGCGCGCGGGCGGUCUUUUCAGUCUGCUGUGUCUGCCUUCGGCUUCUCCGGCGUCGUGCUUUGGCCUCUGGGUGUCUUGUGUGCGGGCGUGGCGCGUGGUUCUCCGUGUGUUGCGGUGCGNUGCGUCGCUUUGUGGGGGGGCGCCUGUGGCGUCGGCGGCUCUCUGGUCUGUCCUCGCCGCUGCGGUUCGCUGNCGUGGGUGGCCCCUCAAAAGGGUUNUNCCCCUCCUNNNNUCCCNCCCCCUNCNNCGCGCCCUUAAAGGGUGUUGGAGGGUUUCCGCCCUUCAGUGCUGCAGCUAACGCAAAUAAGCAUUCCGCCUUGGGGAGUACGACCGCAAGGUUGAAACUCAAAGGAAUUGACGGGGGCCCGCACAAGCGGUGGAGCAUGUGGUUUAAUUCGAAGCAACGAGAAGAACCUUACCAGGUCUUGACAUCUUCUGACAAUCCUAGAGAUAGGACUUUCCCUUCGGGGACAGAAUGACAGGUGGUGCAUGGUUGUCGUCAGCUCGUGUCGUGAGAUGUUGGGUUAAGUCCCGCAACGAGCGCAACCCUUAUUGUUAGUUGCCAGCAUUAAGUUGGGCACUCUAGCAAGACUGCCGGUGACAAACCGGAGGAAGGUGGGGAUGACGUCAAAUCAUCAUGCCCCUUAUGACCUGGGCUACACACGUGCUACAAUGGACGGUACAACGAGUCGCAAGACCGCGAGGUUUAGCAAAUCUCUUAAAGCCGUUCUCAGUUCGGAUUGUAGGCUGCAACUCGCCUACAUGAAGUCGGAAUCGCUAGUAAUCGCGGAUCAGCAUGCCGCGGUGAA
rnacentral:rRNA from 1 species